rnacentral:rRNA from 1 species
AUGAACGCUGGCGGCGUGCCUAAUACAUGCCAGUCGAGCGAAUGGAUUAAGAGCUUGCUCUUAUGAAGUUAGCGGCGGACGGGUGAGUAACACGUGGGUAACCUGCCCAUAAGACUGGGAUAACUCCGGGAAACCGGGGCUAAUACCGGAUAACAUUUUGAACCGCAUGGUUCGAAAUUGAAAGGCGGCUUCGGCUGUCACUUAUGGAUGGACCCGCGUCGCAUUAGCUAGUUGGUGAGGUAACGGCUCACCAAGGCAACGAUGCGUAGCCGACCUGAGAGGGUGGUCGGCCACACUGGGACUGAGACACGGCCCAGACUCCUACGGGAGGCAGCAGUAGGGAAUCUUCCGCAAUGGGCGAAAGUCUGACGGAGCAACGCCGCGUGAGGGAUGAAGGCUUUCGGGUCGUAAAACUCUGUUGUUAGGGAAGAACAAGUGCUAGUUGAAUAAGCUGGCACCUUGACGGUACCUAAUCAGAAAGCCACGGCUAACUACGUG